rnacentral:rRNA from 1 species
UAAGGAAUAUUGCUCAAUGGGAGAAAUCCUGAAGCAGCAACGCCGCGUGGAGGAUGAAGGGUCUAUGACUUGUAAACUCCUGUAAAGAAGGAAAAAAUUCCCAUUUGAUGGGAGAUGAUGGUACUUCUGGAGUAAGCCCCGGCUAACUACGUGCCAGCAGCCGCGGUAAUACGUAGGGGGCAAGCGUUGUCCGGAUUUACUGGGUGUAAAGGGUGCUCAGGCGGAUUUGUAAGUCAGAGGUGAAAUCUUACAGCUUAACUGUGAAACUGCCUUUGAUACUGCAAGCCUAGACUAUGGAAGAGAGUGAUGGAAUAUCUGGUGUAGCAGUGAAAUGCGUAGAUAUCAGAUAGAACACCAAUGGCGAAGGCAGUCACUUGGUCCAUUACUGACGCUAAAGCACGAAAGCGUGGGUAGCAAACA